rnacentral:rRNA from 1 species
UACGGAGGGUGCAAGCGUUAUCCGGAUUUACUGGGUUUAAAGGGUGCGCAGGCGGACUUUUAAGUCAGUGGUGAAAUCUUUCAGCUUAACUGGAAAACUGCCAUUGAUACUGAAAGUCUUGAAUAUAGUUGAGGUGGGCGGAAUUUGGCAUGUAGCGGUGAAAUGCUUAGAUAUGCCGAAGAACACCAAUUGCGUAGGCAGCUCACUAAACUAUUAUUGACGCUCAGGCACGAAAGCGUGGGGAGCGAACAGG